CCACACUCAAUUAUCUGAAUACAGUUUUUUGCCUUGUCCAUUUCCUUGGAAUCAGGAGUGCAGGCAUUGCCUGAUUCUGUCCCAGGAACACACUAGAUAGCUGUGAUCCGAAGCAAACAGACCCCAUGCUGACUGAGGACAAAACUCCCUUUCUUGAAAAUGUUAAAAUCUGGGUACCCAGGACGCCAGGAGCCCAGCUGGACAACUUGGGCUAUGCUUCUUGCUCCAGGCUGGCCCUCCUUCCCCAUCGCCCCUCUCUGUCCUAAUUAGCCUGCUGUCUGCUGGUCUAUUCAGGGUCCACUAUCUUUUCAGCCUCUGAUUCAGAUCCGUGGAUCUCAGCCUCAGGCCCAGCUCUGGCUCCAGCUUUGCCCCCUGUUCCUGCUUCUUUCCUUGUCAGCCCUGGCAUCCUGUCCGCUGAGCCAGCAUAUUGUCCUUGGCGGUCUCCAAAGAAGGAAUCUUCCAAGAAUUCCCAGCACUGGAAGGAGCCUAAGGUCAGGGGGAACUUGACAUAUCACCUGUACAUGCCUCCAGAAGGGAGACAAGGGCCUAGGGCAGAUCUCCAAGCAGAAGGAUCAACCUUGGGUCCCCCGGGGCCACCUCUGUGGGAAGAGAAAAAUUCACAGAGUCCACACCCUCGGAUGAAGCCCUCCUCACCAGGAGACUCCAGUCCCUCACCCCCUUCACACAAGCUGGAACUUCAGACCCUUAAAUUGGAAGAGCUGACGGUGAGUUUAGUGUGCGGUGUCCCAGGGCUGGACACAGACCUCGUAAACCCGUGGCCCCUGCCCUAGGGCAGUUUUUCU
rnacentral:lncRNA from 1 species